rnacentral:rRNA from 1 species
GACGAACGCUGGCGGCGUGCUUAACACAUGCGAGUCGAACGCUGAAGCUCAGCUUUUGUUGGGUGGAUGAGUGGCGAACGGGUGAGUAACACGUGAGUAACCUGCCCCCUUCUUUGGGAUAACGCCCGGAAACGGGUGCUAAUACUGGAUAUUCACUGGUCUUCGCAUGGGGGUUGGUGGAAAGGGUUUUUCUGGUGGGGGAUGGGCUCGCGGCCUAUCAGCUUGUUGGUGGGGUGAUGGCCUACCAAGGCUUUGACGGGUAGCCGGCCUGAGAGGGUGACCGGUCACAUUGGGACUGAGAUACGGCCCAGACUCCUACGGGAGGCAGCAGUGGGGAAUAUUGCACAAUGGGCGCAAGCCUGAUGCAGCGACACCGCGUGAGGGAUGGAGGCCUUCGGGUUGUGAACCUCUUUCGCUCAUGGUCAAGCCGCAACAAUGGUUGUGGUGAGGGUAGUGGGUAAAGAAGCGCCGGCUAACUACGUG